UCAGUUUCAAAAAAAAAAGUUUUUCACCUUACCUUUCUAACGUUCCGAUUUCGUUCCUUUUCUCCUUCUCUGAGCCGUUUCUCUAAGGUUUCAAAAAUCAUUUAAAGCCUUCCUUAGAGAAUUUCAUGUAUCUGACCAUCUCUGCUUCAGUCAAGGAUCUGCUAGAAUCAGGAUUGACAUGGGAAUUCAGGGCUUCCGCAAUCUCCAUGUUUGCUUGGCAGCCAGGAUUCGCACGAAGAAAUAGAGGCUUUAAAUUGCAUCACGUUCUUCUUCCCUUUAUUUUGUCUCUAGGGUUCCAAAAUUGACAGAUUUGAGAGAGAGGCUUUCUGCAAUUUUUCAGGUUUGUUUCUCUUUCUCGUAUCUGGGAUUUGUUCUUCCUCCCUACAUCCAUUCGUUCUCUUCGUUUUUUUUUUAAUUUUCCAAUCAGGAUGAAGAAGAAUUUUGCCAAAACAAAUUUGAUUUGAAUUGUUCUCUGUGAUUCGCGUCGUGCAGAUUUGGUACAUCUCUUAUGGGUCUGCAGUGCCAUAAUCCUAAUUCCCAAAUGAUGGGGUCGAAGCUGUUGGCAAGAUGAAGGGCUCCGGGGUUGAAGAAUUGGAAAGCUCAACUGAAAUCGAUGGUGUGUUGUUGUUACAGAUCCUCAGCGGCACCUAAUUCACACAGCUAGGGUUUCUAAAACGACCACAAUUGAGAGGGUGUCAUGAUUUUCAAUAAAUCAUGACAUUUGUGCGUGAAUCAAAUAGAAAGUGGAAUAAAGGGAGCAAAAUUGAGAGGGCGUGAGACAUGAGGAGGAUGGGGAUGCGUCAGACAUAGAUGACUUCCACGAGGAGGUUUUGAUUCCUCUGUUCAAAUCUUUUGAUUCUUUCUUCUCUUUUUAGUGUUUAGAAAUCCAUUUUAUACGCUUUUGUUUCACUGAAAUGAAUUAUGAAACCAACAUUCAUUGAAGGUUUGAACCUAGUACUAUUACUUUCAUGAAAAAACUUGAUUGAUUCAUGUUCUAUGAUGGUUAUUUUUGGCUAUGUAGGUUCUGAUAUUUAAUCUUUUUAAAGAAACAUCAACAUGGCUUUUGAAAGUCCUGCGGUUUUUCUCAUUUCUAAAUAUUAAAUGCCCUGAGCUUUGAAUAUCUAAUUAUAUAUCUAUUGAACUCUGAAUUAGAACUACCCUGUUGUAGUUUCAUGAUAUCAGAGAGGGGAAGGAUUUACGGCGCACAAAGGGGACCACAAUCACAACAAUCUGUACAUUAUUGUCUGGAUCAGGUAUGGUAAGUUUGUCUUAUCCCUUUUUACUCUCUUAAAUGAAAAUGAAUUCAUUCUUUUCUUAUAUAUAAUUAGUUUUUUAUUUUUAUCCUUGAUGACUCCCUUCAAAGAAUAAUCAGUCUGAACCGAAGGCGUAUUGGCAAAGUUUCAAAAUCCUUUCUCCUGAAAAAUUAUGAUGAUAGCCAUCUCUAAAGGAUUUCAGAAGUCGGCUGGAAUAGAACCCUAGCUCGUGUAUUACAAGAUCUUUUGCUAGGUUUGAACUUCCCAAUAAAGAAAUCUAGACAUGACUUCAUUUUGAACAACAACAAUCUUAAACACACAUAUUCAUUAAGGCAGGGUUGGUGCAAAAUCAAUCCAUUCAAUUGUUCAUUGAAUAAGUGGGAAAGAAAGUCUCCCCCCCUCUCUCUCAAAAUUCAUAUUUUAGAAAUUAAAAUUCAAGCAAGCUGAAAUCAAAAUAUUGAAAUAAAAAACAAAAGGAAAGUUAUAUGCGAAAACUAAAAUCUCAGAAACUUAAAGUUGUCUUCAGUAUGUGUGUAUUUAUCAAUUCGAUUGGAUAACAAUGUGUUUUUUCUCAAUCCAAUAACAUUUGGAACUUGAAUGUGCUUUCAACUGGAAAACAAACACACUAUAUUAUACAUUCCUCAAUGAAGAGUAUAAACAAAUUCCUUCUUAAUUGCAUAAUAAUCAACGCUCUAGCUUCUAGUGGAGUUAAGGGUCAGUCCCUGAAAGUAGUCCUUCUCAGCAUUAGCCAUACGUUCUUGGAACAUUGUCCAUUCCUUCUUACACCUCUCCCUCACCUGAUGGAUACAAACCAAAGUUUCUAAUCAAUGUUCGUAACAUAUAUACAUGUUCCUGUAAAUUCAGCUUGAAUUUCAUCUAGGUGUAUAGAAGAUAAAUUGGUAAAAUGAAAUUACAGGUCAUGUGAAACCGAAAUUCAAAUGUGAUAGCAAGAUGAAAUUCAUACAUACCCCUUCCCAUGGUGCCCUGCCAGUCUCUGCUUGCCCCUAUUAAAAGAACACAAGUCAGAGAAAGAAAGAGAUAAAAUUGAGAUAUCUAAUGUAUAAUGUGAUGAGAUUUUUUUUUUGGAGAAAUAGAGAGAAGUGAAGUGUAGGUUGAAUAUUUAGAGUGUACAAAAAUCAAAACUCAAAUAUUUUAAGCAUUACUUACUUGGUUCCCAAGUGAAGGAACACUUUGAUGGACAAUCCACUGAGCAUCAACAACUCCUAUUUUCUUAUGAGGAGUCUGCAUAUCCAAUCUAAGUAAAGUUCAUUGAAUCCAAUCAUGGAAACAUAAAUGUUUAUCAAAGAAAUAUAAACUAUUAACCUCCACACAUUUUCUGAGAGCAAAAUCAAGACCCCAUCCAUGAAUCAGGUCAUGCUACAAGGCAACAAAAUGAAAAGUAAGAUAUGAAUUGAUUAUGCAGAGACAAUUACAAUAGAAGACACAAAUGUAAUUCUUAAACCUGUAUCAUAUGCCACACACAGCGCCAUGCAUCUCUGGAAAAUACAGGAGCCAUGAUCUCAACAAAUCUGAGCAUUCCAAAAAUUAAGCUCAGUGAGUUAUAUAUGAUCCCCUUUUGAAGUUUGUAAGGAGAAAGAUGUCUCUCAUUAAAACCAAAUGAUUUGGGAACUUGUUGAAGCCAAAAUCAUGGGUGACAGAAGCAACAUCCCUUGGUUUUUGCUUCAGCCCACCAUGAUUUUGCCUUCAUCAUGAUUUCCAAACGUGUUUUCAAACAUGCAAUAAAUUCUUCAGAAGUUAACAGUUGCUUACGCAGCACAAGGUGGCAAGUUUGGCUCUGGACACCAACCUUUUUUCUUAUCCCUACAGGAAGAAUAAGGAAUAACUGUGAUAAAAGAAUAAAACCAUAAUCUAAAUGGUCGUUCCAAAAAUUUUAUUUUUGAGCGCAAUGACAUUGAUUCUUAUAUGUGACUAAUCCCAUAAGUGGAAUGCUUCGUUUAUGCUGUUGUUGUUGAUGAUAGUUACUAGAAUUCGAGUUAGGUCUGAUUCUACUUCAAAAGUGAGAAAAGGUGUGAAGGUUGUUAUACCCUUAAUAAAUACUUAUUAGGUUAUAUCUCUUUGAUCAAUGUAAGACUUCUCAACAUACUCCCUCAAGCCUGGGAUUGGACAUCUGGAACAGGAAAUUUACAGGGCUGAAUGUCUGUUGGUGCCUCAUAUAUGAGUGGUGUUCAAUAAACUAGUAUAAAAUAUACUUUUUGAUAUCAUUUUAGAGUUUGAGUUUGUCUUAACUCGACCCCCAAAAGCUACCUCAGGGGUGAGGGUUACACUACUAUAGUCAAUGAGGAACUUCUCAACAAUGAUGAUUAUGUAGUGAUAACAAAAAUAACGAACAAAGCUAAAACAUGAUAAGGUAUCCACUUACUUGUGUACUUCACCUUCAUCCCCUUUCCUUGUCAUUUCCCAUGUAAAACUACUUUUCCGAUCUAGACCAGGCUGUGAGAUCUCCAAACCAUGUUUUCAUACCAUUUUCAAGUACCUAGAAUAGAGAUAUAUUUCAUUACAAAAAAAAAAUCACCAACACCAUGAUUCCCACAACAUAGACUUGGUUUUGGCUAUUGAUACUUAGUACUUACUCCUCUGCAUCAAAAUGAUCCAAACCAAGAUCCUCAUCCCAAAUGAAGAUGUAAUCAUAGGGAGCCACAAUGUAAGGAUGUAGAAAGCGUUUAGCAUACCACCUUCAACCAAAUUCCAAGAUUGCAUAUCUAAAUCAAACUUGUUACAAUUUAUAGAAGGGUUAAUCAUCUAAUAGGUCCUUGUCUUUGUCUCGCCGUCUGAAAUUAGCCCCUCCCCGGAAAAUUUGUAAAUCUGGGUCCUCUCGUUUGCAAUAAGUCUGGAGCAGGUCCUCGCCGGAGCCCGGAGCUCCGACGAGUGAUGAAUUGACAUGAUGACCGGAUAAAUGAGGCUGAUGUGGAUUUAAAAAAAUAAAAAAAAACAAGUAAGAUUUAUUAAUCAAAUUAAUAAAAAGAAAAUUAAUCAUCUUCUUCUUCUUCUUAAAUCUAUUAACAAAUCUAACCUAAUCUAACUAAAAAAUCAAUUUUCCCCAAAUAAUAAUAAAAAUAAAAAUAAACCCUAAAUCAAUUGCUGCUUCUUCCUCUCAAACCCAGAAACUUCUGAGCAUCUUCUCAUCUUCAGCAUGUCCAUCCACCACCUCCGCCUAGAUCUGGUUUCUGCUGGGUUGCGAGUGAGGGUGGGGAUGGGGUGGGUCGCGAGUGAGGGUUGGGGUGUCGGUUGGGGGUGGGGUUGAGGUUGCAGCAUGGGGGUGGGUUUCUGGGGUGGGUUGCGAUGGGUUUUAGGUGGGGAUGGGUUUCAAGGGUCGGUUGCGGGUGAGGGUGGGGUGGGUUACGAGUAAGGGUGGGGAUGGAGUGGGUUGCAGGUGAAGGUGGGGGUGGGUUACGAGUGGGGUUGGGUUGCAGGUGAAGGUGGGAAUGGGUAUCUGGGUGGGGGUGCUUCUUCCUCUGGGUUACUGUGUGUGAUGUUGCAGAGAGGGGAUGAGGAAGAAAACAAGUAACCAAUUGAAGCCACCCAUAACCCAUUAGGAUAAGUUAAUCAAAACCAGAGCAAGGGCCAAGAGAGGUGAUGUUUUCUUUUAAAAGUGAAUCAUCUGGAGAGGAACGAAAAACCAGAGCAAAAGCACGUUACAAGAGGAGAGGAGAAAUAGAAAGCUAGAAAGUGAAUAUUAAUGUUUCUACUCUUCUUUGUUUCGAUUUGAAUUACUAUUUGAUGCUAUAUCUUUGAUGAAUAAAUCUAGAGGUGUGAUAGUUUAUUGCCCUCAAUAUGCUUGAGAUUAUGUCAGAAUCAUCACUUGUGGAUCGUCUUGGGCAAAGCAGGUUGGAGGAAGAAGCUACUAUUGUUCUAUGUUUUUAUUCUUCUUCUUCUUGUGUUUUCUUGUUUUGAUCUGCAAUUGUGUUUUUGAUUUCUGUUUAUGGGAUCUGGUUUUGAUAUUGAAGACAAAGGGAAUUUUUUUUUCUUCUGAAAGUGAAGAUUUAAUUUUGGGAGAGGUUCUGAAUUUUUUGGGAGAAUUAAAAAUUUUAAUUUUUAAUUUUUAAUUUUUUUUCCUUGCCACGUCAGAUAAGUAAACCCAGUCAUCAUGCCAAUUCAUCACUCGUCGGAGCUUCGGGCUCCGGUGAGGACCUGCUCCAGACUUAUUGCAAACGAGAGGACCCAGAUUUGCAAAUUUUCCGGGGAGGGACUAAUUUCAGACGGCGAAACAAAGACAGGGACCAAGUAGAUAAUUAACCCUUUAUAAAAUGAAACAAAAACUCUGUUAAUCGUGAAAUUCAUUACCAACCAUUUAGUUUGCUUUCUAACACUGAUAUGAAUUGCUUUCUUGGACCACUCAAAGUUAUCCCACUCACUAGCGCGUCCAUCAUAGUGAAACAACACAAUGGUGAAGUUUUCUGCGAACUAAGAUUGAAGUCCAAAAGUCAUACAAAGAGCAAAACAAACACAAAGAAAAAUGAAUGCAGGAGAAUAACAUAAGUUCAAAUAACCUUUUUGAUUGCAGCAUCAAUGUUGCUUCUCUGAUCAUACCUGAGAGUAAAAGUUACAAGAUAUUUGGGUUUGAUACUUAGGUCCUACAAGUCCCACCUCCAUCAAGAAAAGAGUCAGAUUAGAGAAGGGAAUAACAUUUGUAACUUGUUCAAUUCUUCUUUAACAAGUUGUGAUUUGUUUGGCUCAAAUAGGAAUUGCGCAAUGUGAACUUCAAGUUUGCUAUAGAGCAACCACAUGAAGUUUGAUCUGUCAAUUAAUGCUAGAACACUACAAAAAUAUUUGUUAUAACUGUAAGCAUUUAGCUACUAAUUGAGAGGAACGUGAACGGACUUCAAUGUGAAUUCAUAAGAAGAGUUUUGUUCACUUUUUAUCUUAAUGAGAGUUUAACGUCUGUUUGCACUGGUGUCAACAUGUAUUCAAACAUCACAAAUGUUCAUUUUCUCAAUAAUGAUUUAAAACUUUGACACCACUCUAGUAAUCAAUCACACAUUUAAUAAAAGGUUUUUGUGAUGAAAAUUAUUAUUUUUGCAGAUUAAAAUUAGUUUUUGCUUUGAGGUACAGAGAAUUUGCACACCUGAUCGGGUAGACCCCACAACUGACGAAGAUAGAGAUCUGAUUGAGAUUCCACAAUUCUUGGGGGCAGUCUUUCAGCUCCAUGAGGAUUUGUAGGAACCCA
rnacentral:lncRNA from 1 species